CGCCAGGUCCUGUGCAAUGAAGCGAUACUGAACCCCGUCAGGCCCGGAAGGGAGCAGCGGUAGGUGUUUGCUUCAUGUGCCGCAGACGGCUUGGCAGAA
rnacentral:SRP_RNA from 1 species